GACUUGUCUUGACUGAAGCAGCAAUCCUGCCCCAGCUCUGAAGAUGCCUGCACUGUGGGAUGAGGUAGUAGGUUGUAUAGUUUUAGGGUCAU
rnacentral:miRNA from 12 species